CUCUCGCCGUCACGCCGCCAAGCAUCGUCGCUACCUGUGCUGCCCCACGGAACCAGAACGAUCGAGGGUUUCGAGCAGAAACUGCAGAUUCUAUUCAAUUGUUCUGUUGUUGCCAACUACCUCGAUCCAGUGUGUUGGUCCAUGAGGUGACUCUGGUGGCGGCGCCAUAACCCGGCUGGAGACGGCAGCGGCGACACGUUCUUCUCUCCUCCUAUCGGCGCAAGCAGUUCGUCCCCAUAGUCGGACCAGAUCAAACGCUUCUUGCAACAUCAAUAUCUUGCAAUCCUCCCAACGGCAGUGGUAGCGGAUUGACCUGGUCUCAACGGCAGCAACAUCACAACGACCCAUUUCCUAUUACUGAUUCGACGGCGCGGAGCAGUGGCAGCGGUAACAUCUGUUGACCGAUUUGGAGGGGAGCAGAAUAACAGUGAGCAGCAAAGUGUGGACUGGUUCAACAUCAGCCAACAUAAUCGCCCCAACAUCAGCCAGACCGACUGGUUUGAGCUCCUUCCAUGCCUCCCUAACUAUCUUUGCAAGCAGUUGAGUUGGCUUGAACUUUCCUGUACAACUGAAGGUCCUUCUCGAGCGUGUGCAGCUUGAUGUAACAUCAUGCAGUUUGCGAUGGGGAAUCAGUGUUUAGUAGGAACAACUUAGUGCAUAUGUAUUUUGUGUGUACUGACCUGAUGCAAAUAUAUUCAUGUGUAAUGCUAGACAAGGUACAAAGGUAAUGUAGAUUCUGUGUAAUGAUUCGAUUUUCAAACAAUAUUGUGUGCCCUUAGAAAAUUGGAUAUUCGCUAAGUU